GAUGAACGUUGGCGGUGUGCCUAAUACAUGCAAGUCGAACGGUGGUUAUUUUGUAGUAAUACGAAGUGAUCAUAGUGGCGAACGGGUGAGUAACGCGUUGGUGAUCUGCCUCGAAGUGUGGAAUAACGUUACCGAAAGGAACGCUAAUACCGCAUGUGCUCUCGAUUUUUAGAAAGUUGAGAGUAAAGGAUUUAUUCGCUUCGAGAGGAGCCUGCGUCCCAUCAGCUAGUUGGUAGGGUAAUAGCCUACCAAGGCUUUGACGGGUAGGGGACCUGAGAGGGUGGCCCCCCACAAUGGAACUGAAACACGGUCCAUACACCUACGGGUGGCAGCAGUAGGGAAUAUUAGAAAUGGACGAAAGUCUGAUCUAGCGACACCGCGUGUGCGAUGAAGGCCUUCGGGUUGUAAAGCACUUUUUUGGAAGGAAUAGGAAGGAAGGUACUUCCAGAAUAAGUCUCGGCUAACUACGUG
rnacentral:rRNA from 1 species